ensembl:lncRNA
CUUAGUUGUACUUUUGAAUGAUUUAAUGUUAUUGUCUUUCCACAGAAUAACAAUCUCACCACAUUCUCCAACACCAUGUGUGACACAGAAAAAGAGAAGAAGGAGAAGAAGGAGAAGAAGGAGAAGAAGGAGGAUGAACACAAGGAGGACUCCGAAAGCUCUGGAUCAGAGUCCGGAUCAGGCGAGGAGGGAGAGAAGGGGAAGGGAAAGGGAAAGAAACAUGGGAAAAAAGGCAAAGGACAUGGACACGGUCAUGAACAUGGACAUGGACAUGGUAAAGGCAAGCACGGAAAAUGUGAUGACUAAAGAAGUGCUCCACAUCUUCUCCCUGAUACUGUAGUAAAUACUAAUGUCAAUAAAUGAGUCAACAAAUUA